AUGGCCAUGGCAUUUCCCCUCAUGAUACUCACACUAAUCUUCUUGCAGCCAGCGCCCGUGCUCGCUGCUCCUUCCCUUCCUAGCAACAAUGGCACUGACCUCGCCGCGCUGCUCGAGUUCAAGGCGCAGCUCUCCGAUCCUAUUGGCAUUCUUGGUCAAAACUGGACGACCGCCACAUCCUUCUGCCACUGGGUUGGCGUCUCUUGCAGUCGGCGUCGGCAGCGCGUCACCGCUCUCGUGCUACCAGGCAUGCCGCUCCAAGGGUUGGUCUCCCCAUAUCUUGGUAAUCUCUCUUUCCUCCAUGUCCUAAACCUCACCAACACAGACCUCACAGGAUCCAUCCCACCUGAUAUUGGAAGGUUGAGUCGUCUCGUCGUUCUUGAUCUUGGCCUUAACAGAUUGUCAGGAAUCAUCCCUCGUACCAUAGGAAACCUCACAAAGCUAAACUCCCUUGUUCUAGUAAAGAACGAUCUCUCUGGGAAAAUACCGCAUGAUUUGCACAACUUGGGCAAUCUUAGGCACAUAAAGCUUGGGACAAACUACUUAAGUGGCAUAAUACCAAAUCAAUUGUUCAACAACACGCCUCUGUUAGUUGGUCUUGGCUUUGGGAACAACAGCCUAUCAGGGCCAAUACCACCCGGUAUUGCUUCCUGUCCCAUGCUUGAGUACCUCAACUUGCAAGCAAAUCAGCUUUCUGGCCCGGUACCUCCAACAAUUUUCAACAUGUCCAGAUUACAGAUUAUGAGCCUCGUGGGCAAUCGGUACUUAACAGGAUCCAUCCCUAGCAAUCAAAGCUUUAGUUUGCCCAUGUUGCAACGGUUCCUUAUUGGUCGCAAUAAUUUCACAGGUCGAAUUCCAUCAGGACUUGCAUCAUGUAAACACCUCAGAGUUGUUUAUCUAUCCGAAAACUCCUUUGCAGACUUCGUCCCAACAUGGCUCAGUAAAUUGUUGCAUCUCACUAUCCUUAAUUUAAGUGGAAAUGACCUCAUCGGUUCAAUUCCAAGUGAGCUCAGCAAUUUGACUAUGCUCAGUGUGCUUGACCUCUCACGUUGUAGUCUGAGUGGAAAGAUUCCGGAUGAAUUAGGACAAAUGAGUCAACUCACGCUUUUACACCUUUCAGAAAAUCAACUGACAGGGUCCUUUCCAGCUUUUGUUGGUAACCUAUCCCAACUGUCUAGACUAUUACUAGAAUCAAACUAUUUAACUGGAGCAGUCCCAACAUCUAUGGGGGACCUCAGAGCCCUUGAGUGGUUUGAUAUUGGAAGCAAUCCUCUUGAGGGAACACUUGAUUUCUUGGCCACUUUCUCCAACUGCAGACAACUCCGAUACCUUGCCAUAUACAACUGUUCGUUCACCGGGAUCAUUCCUGAUCACAUUGGAAACCUCUCCAGAAGCUUGACACACUUUGAUGCAGGCACUAAUCAUUUAACUGGAGGUUUCCCAGCACCAAUAUCAAAUCUAAGUGAUCUAAAAGUAAUAAUCCUUUAUGAAAACCAAUUAAGAGGCCUAAUCCCUGAAUCCAUAACACUAUUGAAGAAUCUCGAGGCACUUGAUCUAACCGGGAAUAGCCUUUCUGGCUCAAUCCCAUCACAAAUUGGUACCUUAAAUAGAUUGCACAUAUUAUCUCUCCAAGAAAAUAAUUUUUCUGGUGCCAUACCAAAUGGUAUUGGUAAUCUAAGUAUGCUAGAAAUCAUUUCACUAGCAUAUAACCAGCUGUCUUCAACCAUACCUGAAAGCUUAUUCCACCUCAGUAACCUUCGUCAAUUAUUUCUAUCUAACAACUCCUUCACCGGUGAAUUGUACUCUGAUCUUGGUUCCAUGGAAGCAAUAGACACGGUAGAUAUAUCUGCCAACAGCUUGGUUGGUAGCCUUCCGACUUCAUUUGGACAACAUGGACUGUUAAGCUACCUUGAUCUAUCACACAACAAGCUGCAAGGUCCAAUCCCAGAAUCUUUCAAAAAGUUAGUUAACCUAGGGGCAUUGGACCUAUCUUUAAACAACCUUUCUGGUACUAUUCCGAAGUAUCUGGCCAACUUUACUUCUCUGACUAGCUUGAACCUCUCUUUCAAUAAGUUCCAAGGUGAAAUACCAGAUGGAGGUAUUUUCUCAAAUAUCAGUGCGGAAUCUUUGAUGGGAAAUGCCGGAUUGUGUGGUGCCCUGCGUCUUGGAUUUUCACCAUGCCUUGGCGAUUCUCACCCAACCAACAGACACUUGCUAAGAUUUGUGCUCCCGACUGUCAUAAUAACAGUUGGGGUUAUAACAAUUGUCUUAUGCCUAAUGUUCAGAAAGAAAAAUAAGCAGCAGCCAAAUGUUGCGACUUCUCUUGGUAUGGCUGAUCCGACCAGCCAUAGAUUAGUAUCCUACCAUGAGAUUGUUCGUGCCACUGAAAAUUUCAACAUGGACAACCUACUUGGAGUUGGAAGUUUUGGCAAAGUUUUCAAGGGCAAACUGGAUGAUGGUUUGGUGGUCGCGAUAAAAGUGCUCAACAUGCACUUUGAGCAGGCCGUGAGGAGCUUUGAUACUGAAUGUCAAGUGUUGCGGAUGGCUCGGCAUCGCAACUUGAUACAGAUACUGAAUACCUGUUCCAACUUGGAUUUCAGAGCUCUGCUGCUCCAGUACAUGCCCAAUGGUAGCUUGGAGGCACAAUUGCACUCUGGAAAUAGUGAACCACUAGGAUUCAUCAAGAGACUGGACAUUAUGCUUGGCGUGUCGGAGGCAAUGGAGUAUCUGCACCAUCAUCACGGUCAAGUUGUCCUACACUGUGACCUGAAGCCUAGCAAUGUGUUGUUUGAUGAGGACAUGACGGUGCACGUCGCUGACUUUGGCAUUGCGAAGUUACUUCUUGGCGAUGACAACUCCAUGAUCUCAGCAAGUAUGCCAGGGACAAUCGGGUACAUGGCCCCAGAGCUUGCAUACAUGGGUAAGGCUUCACGGAAGAGCGACGUGUUCAGCUUUGGGAUCAUGCUGCUCGAAGUCUUCACCGGGAAGAGGCCCAUGAAUCCCAUGUUUAUCGGGGAAUCCAGCCUCAGGCAGUGGGUUUCCCAAGCAUUUCCAGCAAGGCUCGUCGUUAUCGUUGAUGAGAAGCUGCUGCAGGGUGAAGAGAUAAGCAGCCAUGGCUUUCAUCAGCAGACCAAUAUUCCUCCAUCGGCAUCGCCUUCCACCGCCUCCAACACAAACUUUCUUGUAUCGGCGUUUGAGCUGGGUCUGGAGUGUUCGAGCGACUCACCUGACCAUAGGCCAAGCAUGGACGAAGUGGUCGUGAAGCUGAAGAACAUCAAGAAGGAUUGCUCUGCUUCCAUGGCAGCAAGGCUGGGGGUUCCGCAGCGUUGA
rnacentral:rRNA from 1 species